CCUACGGGCGGCAGCAGUGGGGAAUAUUGGACAAUGGGGGGAACCCUGAUCCAGCGACGCCGCGUGAGUGAAGAAGUAUUUCGGUAUGUAAAGCUCUAUCAGCAGGGAAGAAAGAAAUGACGGUACCUGACUAAGAAGCCCCGGCUAACUACGUGCCAGCAGCCGCGGUAAUACGUAGGGGGCAAGCGUUAUCCGGAUUUACUGGGUGUAAAGGGAGCGUAGACGGCGAUGCAAGUCUGAAGUGAAAGGCGGGGGCGCAACCCCUGGACUGCUUUGGAAACUGUAUGGCUGGAGUGCAGGAGAGGUAGGUGGAAUUCCUGGUGUAGCGGUGAAAUGCGUAGAUAUUAGGAGGAACACCAGUGGCGAAGGCGGCUUACUAGACUGUAACUGACGUUGAGGCUCGAAAGCGUGGGGAGCAAACAGGAUUAGAUACCCGUGUAGUC
rnacentral:rRNA from 1 species